rnacentral:rRNA from 1 species
UGGGGAAUCUUGGACAAUGGGCGCAAGCCUGAUCCAGCCAUGCCGCGUGAGUGAAGAAGGCCUUAGGGUUGUAAAACUCUUUCGCCGGAGAAGAUAAUGACGGUAUCCGGAGAAGAAGCCCCGGCUAACUUCGUGCCAGCAGCCGCGGUAAUACGAAGGGGGCUAGCGUUGUUCGGAAUUACUGGGCGUAAAGCGCACGUAGGCGGGUUUGUAAGUAGAGGGUGAAAUCCCAGGGCUCAACUCUGGAACUGCCUUCUAGACUGCAAGCCUGGAGGUCAGGAGAGGCGAGUGGAAUACCGAGUGUAGAGGUGAAAUUCGUAGAUAUUCGGUGGAACACCAGUGGCGAAGGCGACUCGCUGGACUGAUACUGACGCUGAGGUGCGAAAGCGUGGGGAGCAAACAGG